UCUCUAGUGGCUCAGAUGGUAAAGAAUCUGCCUAUAAUGCGGGAGACCUGGGUUCGAUCCCUGGCUUGGGAA
rnacentral:tRNA from 1 species